GGACCGAGAGACGUGGCAACAGCGUGCGCAGAAGCGUCCUCACAGGCACGCGCAUCUUCCUCGGUCACUCUCACCGGUCCGCCGCUUCUGAAAGAUGCUGAACUUCAUGAUGGAAUUGGUGUGGAAGCACAGUGGCAUGGAUAGCACAAGUUGCAAAAGAAUAGAUAAAAUGUUCAUGAAGUCUAAAUGGAAGUGAGGUUGUUUAGACAAGUCUUGAGCACAAGAUAAGGUAAGUCUAAUUCAAAUGUUCCUCUUACUUUUGAAUGUCAAUUGAUAUUAAGCUAAAUUGGACAUGGAUGCAAGUCUUUCCUACAUACCAUGUGGCAGGCCUUACACUUUGAACUAAUCGGAUCAUCAUAGAUGAUGGGAGUGAACUUGUAUAAAUAUCCUAAAAUAGGUUGCUAAUUAUUGCAGUCCAUCACGGGCACCUAG